GCCCUCGUGGCGGAAUGGCAGACGCACAGGACUUAAAAUCCUGUGAACCGAAUAGGUUCGUGCGGGUUCGAGUCCCGCCGAGGGCA
rfam:Methylacidiphilum fumariolicum SolV, WGS project CAHT01000000 data, contig: 86-2114